rnacentral:rRNA from 1 species
UGCCAGCAGCCGCGGUAAUACGGAGGGGGCGAGCGUUAUUCGGAAUUACUGGGCGUAAAGGGUGCGUAGGCGGCCCAUCAAGUUAGACGUGAAAGCCCCGGGCUCAACCUGGGAAUUGCGUUUAAUACUGGUGAGCUAGAGUACGAGAGAGGAAAGUGGAAUUCCUAGUGUAGCGGUGAAAUGCGUAAAUAUCAGGAGGAACACCGGUGGCGAAGGCGACCAUCUGGGACGGAACUGACGCUGAUGAACGAAAGCGUGGGGAGCAAACAGGAUUAGAUA